AUUGAACGCUGGCGGCAGGCUUAACACAUGCAAGUCGAGCGGGGGAAGGUAGCUUGCUACCGGACCUAGCGGCGGACGGGUGAGUAAUGCUUAGGAAUCUGCCUAUUAGUGGGGGACAACAUCUCGAAAGGGAUGCUAAUACCGCAUACGUCCUACGGGAGAAAGCAGGGGAUCUUCGGACCUUGCGCUAAUAGAUGAGCCUAAGUCGGAUUAGCUAGUUGGUGGGGUAAAGGCCUACCAAGGCGACGAUCUGUAGCGGGUCUGAGAGGAUGUCCCGCCACACUGGGACUGAGACACGGCCCAGACUCCUACGGGAGGCAGCAGUGGGGAAUAUUGGACAAUGGGGGGAACCCUGAUCCAGCCAUGCCGCGUGUGUGAAGAAGGCCUUAUGGUUGUAAAGCACUUUAAGCGAGGAGGAGGCUACUCUAGUUAAUACCUAGGGAUAGUGGACGUUACUCGCAGAAUAAGCACCGGCUAACUCUGUGCCAGCCGCCGCCGUAA
rnacentral:rRNA from 1 species